rnacentral:lncRNA from 1 species
ACAUUGGCACGUUUUGUGGACAGGAAAAUUAGUAUGGACAACCCAGGACGUGUAUUUCUCAGCACCCAGUCAACUGCCACAAGUGACUCGAACACAGGCCACCAGUGGCACUCAGCUGUACCACUGCACUGCUGCUGAAAUUGCCAGCACCAGCGGCUUUGUAACAGCUGUUUCACAGCAUCUCGGAGACAAUGCCUACGAAAUUAUUGGUCCUGAUGACAAG